CUGUGAUAACGGAAUAGGAAUGUUACAUUGAAACGGGCCCGAUGAAAGCACUUGCCUUGUGUUAUCGUUUCUACAUGCUAUUGAAGAGGAUAAUAAAGGUUCAAUGUCCCGUCCGUUUCUCAAUUCUCUUAAGACUCUUCGACCUGACAGGUUGUUCCCUUUAGAGACUCGAUAUCAUGUUUCAUUGUAAGCUUCUCUUGUGCCUGAGCUUCAUUGCUGUAGGCCUUCGUCAUGCCUUAGCAGGCUAUGGUGGACAAUCUUGUACCAUCCCGACGUCCGGUAACCCUGGGGCCUCUACCGUGUGUACAGGAUCAGCCAAUGGCUUUUGUUUGGUGGAUACACUCACCACCGCAGGAGCCCCGAAUCUCAAUUCCAUCUCUCUCACGGGCGUAUGUAUCUGUUACCAGGGAUACAGUGGGGCUGCGU